GCUGGCUGUGGUGGUGCACAUGCCUGUAGUCCUAUCUGUUCAAGAGGUUAAGACAGGAGAAUUAUUUGAGCCUAGGAGUUCUGGGCUGUAGUACACUAUGCAGAUUGGGUGUCCACAUUAAGUAUCAGUGUGGUAAACUCCCAGGAGCUGGGAACCACUCAAGUUGCCUAAGGAGUCGUGAACCAGCCCACGUUGGAAAUGGAGCAGGUCAAAACUCCCAUGCUGAUCCGUAGUGGGAUCAUACUUGUGAAUAGUCUCUGCACUCUAGCAUGGACAACAUAGUGAGACCUCAUCACU
rnacentral:SRP_RNA from 1 species